rnacentral:misc_RNA from 1 species
AGUUUGAUUAUGGCUCAGAUUGAACGCUGGCGGGAUGCUUUACACAUGCAAGUCAGACGACAGCACGGACUUCGGUCUGGUGGCGAGUGGCGAACGGGUGAGUAAUGUAUCGGAACGUGCCUAGUAGCGGGGGAUAACUACGCGAAAGCUAGCUAAUACCGCAUACGCCCUUCGGGGAAAAGCGGGGGACCUUCGGGCCUCGCACUAUUAAGAGCGGCCGAUAUCGGAUUAGCUAGUUGGUGGGGUAACGGCUCGCAAGGCGACGAUCCGUAGCUGGUUUUGAGAGGACGACCAGCCACACUGGGACUGAGACACGGCCCAGACUCCUGCAGAGGCAGCAGUGGGGGAAUUUUGGACAAUGGGGAAACCCUGAAUCCAGCCAUCCGCGUGUGCGAUGAAGGCCUUCGGGUUGUAAAGCACUUUUGGCAGGAAAGAAACGGCACGGGAUAAUACCCCGUGCAACUGACGGUACCUGCAGAAUAAGCACCGGCUAACUACGUGCCAGCAGCCGCGGUAAUGCGUAGGGUGCAAGCGUUAAUCCGGAAUUACUGGGCGUAAAGCGUGCGCAGGCGGUUCGGAAAAGAAAGAUGUGAAAUCAGAGCUUAACUUUGGAACUGCAUUUUUUGCUACCGAGCUAGAGUGUGUCAGAGGAGGUGGAAUUCCGCGUGUAGCAGUGAAAUGCGUAGAUAUGCGGAGGAACACCGAUGGCAGAGGCAGCCUCCUGGGAUAACACUGACGCUCAUGCACGAAAGCGUGGGGAGCAAACAGGAUUAGAUACCCUGGUAGUCCACGCCUAAACGAUGUCAACUAGCUGUUGGGCCUUCGGGCCUUGG